UUAUCAUUCUAGCGCAGUUUGAUCCGUAUGAAACAAACAAUGCUCAUGAAUCAGAAGUUGUUUGUCCACGUGAACUGGGGUAUAAGGUUACCAAUUAGAGUGCAAGGAGCUUCUACAAGGGUUCUC